rnacentral:rRNA from 1 species
UACGAGGGGGGCGAGCGUUGUUCGGAAUUAUUGGGCGUAAAGGGUGCGUAGGCGGUUUGGUAAGUCUUGUGUGAAAUCUCCAGGCUCAACUUGGAGUCUGCACGAGAAACUGCCGGGCUUGAGUGUGGGAGAGGUGAGUGGAAUUCCUGGUGUAGCGGUGAAAUGCGCAGAUAUCGGGAGGAACACCGGUGGCGAAGGCGGUUCUCUGGGCCUUACCUGACGCUGAGGAGCGAAAGCGUGGGGAGCGAACAGG